CUACUACUCCCUCCGUCCGGAAAUACUUGUCAUUGAAAUGGAUGUAUCUAGAUGUAUUUUAGUUCUAGACACAUCCAUUUUGAUGACAAGUAAUUCCGGACGGAGGGAGUAUUAU
rnacentral:pre_miRNA from 1 species